rnacentral:tRNA from 1 species
GCCGGGGUGAUGAAAUUGGUAGACAUGUUGGUCUUAGAAACCAAUGCCUAACCGCGUAAGAGUUCAAGUCUCUUCCUCGGCACCA